GACGAACGCUGGCGGCGUGCCUAAUACAUGCAAGUCGAACGCAGUGGGGACGGGUGAGUAACACGUGGGUAACCUCCCAUCAGAGGGGAUAACACUUGGAAACAGGUGCUAAACCGAUACUGAUGGAUGGACCCGCGGUGCAUUAGCUAGUUGGUGAGGUAACGGCUCACCAAGGCCACGAUGCAUAGCCGACCUUGGAGGGUGAUCGGCCCACCUGGGAUUGAGACACGGCCCAGACUCCUACGGGAGGCAGCAGGAGGGGAUCUUCGGCAAGGGACGAAAGUCCUACCGAGCAACGCCGCGUGAGUGAAGAAGGUUUUCGGAUCUUAAAACUCUUUUGUUUGAGAAGCGGUAUCUAACCAGAAAGCCACGGCUAACUACGUGCCAGCCGCCGCGGUAAUUC
rnacentral:rRNA from 1 species